rnacentral:lncRNA from 13 species
AUGUUCAAGGACAUCAUUGGAAACAGUAUUUGUUUUACCAAAUCUUUGACUGGAAUGGCAUACUUUCAGACUGCUUUAAGAAAUCAAAGUUCACUUAUAGAGCCAGUGAAAAACCCUCGGGAAAACCUGUUUUCUACUUUUCAUUGCAGUCCUUGUCCAGAGUUUCCUACCUGUGGAAACCUUGCAGAGGACAACCAAAAAGUUAAGGCGAUAUCCCAGGUUUGAAGAACCUCCCAGUGCAGUUUUACAAUAUAACGUCAGGUGGGGUUGAACUCCUUUCACCAGGGUUUGCAUGGGAAAGAAUGGAGGAGUUCCAAAUGCAAGAGCUGCAGGUACAAGAGCCAGGUGCCCAACUUUGCAGGUGACAUGGAGAUGUGUGGCCUGAAAGCUGAAGUUUCUGGCUCCACAGGGAAAGCUUAUGACUACUGGCAGCUUUAAAUGUGGAUUGCAGGCUGACUGGAAUUCAGCUUGCUGCUGCCAGUAGAACACUGUGGGAGUGGAUCUACCUUGCCAAGUGUGUGGGAACUGUGUGGGGCUUACCACCACCUGCUAUUUCCCACUUCGUACACCAACUCUUCUGUGCAGCAGAAGCAGCAGUACUUCCCUUUAGGACAUCAACCAAGUAUCCUGAAACCUGCUCCCAUCCCCCAAUACCCACAGGGGCUACUGCUUGCCCUGCAUUUGGAGACUCAUGACACAAACUCACCUUACCCAGCCCUGACUUUGCUCUGCAACUCACCUUCGUAGCUUAACACAAAAGGCAGAAUCUCUGGGAAGCUAUAUGGCCCUGACCAUUGCCUGAGAAACAAGAGUACCCCCAUCCUGCCAGACAACAUAAGGUAAACAAACAUCCCACUGCUACUGCUGCAGCUGGUUCUCUCUUGCAAGUACGACUUCUUGGCUAAAGGCCAACUAACAGAAUUCAUUACGGUAUCUCCUGGUAAAAUAACACUGCAUCUAGGACUGAGAAAAUGUCUGUGUGAUCUCAACUAUCACCACUGCCUGCACCACUCUGCCUAACCAGGAGGUUCCGAAUAUGUCAAUGUGACCAGUUUUUUACUACAAUAACCAACCUUCAAGAAAGCCAACACACUGUGGCUAUCGAUAACCAAGGAAUUUCACAGAGUCUGUGUCAUUCCCUUGCUACCCUCUGUCCCCAUAAGAGCUGCUACCCACUGCUGGAAAACUUUUGCAGAGAUCACAUCGUUGGAUCCCUUGCAGGAAUUCUCCAAUUACAGACUAAACCAUGUCAAUUUUACUGGGCAUGUGACCCAGAGGAGCAACAACUCUUACAAUAGUCUGGUUCCUAGGGACUCUCACUCCUGGAGGAAAGGGGAGUACACCACAUCAAGAGAACACCCUGUAAGACAAAAGAAUCUGGAUGUCAGACCUUGAGCACCAGAUUCUUCUCAUGGUAGAAAGCUUCUUUCAGCAUAGGCACAGGUAUAGUGCUGGACUUACCAGGGUAAGUCUUCAGCCCCGUCCCAAAAGUUACCCAGCCCUGGUGUGCAGUAAGGGCCUUGGAGAAGAUGAAGUCUUUUCCCUCUUGUCACUGUAGACACAGUUGGGGCUUCUGCCAUGAAAGCUUGGCAUGAAUGCAACUAUAAACAGCCUUUCUGGAACACUUCAGGGGGGCAACAUCCCCAUAGGAGGAGCUCUCUCUAGGCUCAUGCUUCAAUAAAGUACAGAGUCACAAUUCCUCUGUAUUUGUA